UGCUGUAUAGUGCAAAUGGUAGUGCGUGUGACCUUGAAUCACAAGAUAACAGUUCGAUUCUGUUUGCAGCUGUCAA
rnacentral:tRNA from 1 species